CCCGCACAAGCGGUGGAGCAUGUGGUUUAAUUCGAAGCAACGCGAAGAACCUUACCAGGCCUUGACAUGCAGAGAACUUUCCAGAGAUGGAUUGGUGCCUUCGGGAACUCUGACACAGGUGCUGCAUGGUUGUCGUCAGCUCGUGCCGUGAGGUGUCGGGUUAAGUCCCAUAACGAGCGCAACCCCUACCUUUAGUUGCCAUCAGGUAAUGCUGGGGACUCUAAAGGAACUGCCUACGCAAGUAGUGAGGAAGGCGGGGAUGACGUCAAAUCAGCACGGCCCUUACGUCCAGGGCUACACACGUGCUACAAUGGCCGAUACAGAGGGCAGCUACCUGGUGACAGGAUGCAAAUCUCCAAAGUCGGUCUCAGUUCGGAUCGGAGUCUGCAACCCGACUCCGUGAAGUUGGAUUCGCUAGUAAUCGCGCAUCAGCCAUGGCGCGGUGAAUACGUUCCCGGGCCUU
rnacentral:rRNA from 1 species